rnacentral:tRNA from 1 species
GGGUGCUUAGCGCAGUGGUAGCGCGUUCGCUUUGCAUGGGGUUCAAUGCGAAAGGCCAGGAGUUCGAUCCUCUUAGCAUCCA